UCCCCUCAUUCACCGCCUCUCCGACGGGCUGUCGCCACGUCAUCAGACGCUCCGUCACCACCAACAACAUCCAACAUGGCGGCGUCCGUCCGGGAGAAGCAGGCGGUCGCUCUGAAGCGAAUGCUGAACUUCAACGCUGCUCCUCUGAAGAACACAGCAGCUGAGCCAGUAUGGAAGGUGUUGAUCUACGACCGGUUCGGCCAGGACAUCAUCUCCCCUCUGCUGUCCGUCAAGGAGCUCAGAGACAUGGGCAUCACCCUUCACCUUCUGCUUCACUCGGACAGAGACCCCAUUCCAGACGUUCCAGCCGUCUACUUCGUCAUGCCAACAGAGGAGAACAUCGACAGGAUAUGCCAGGACCUGAGGAACCAGCUGUACGAGUCCUACUUCCUCAACUUCAUCUCGGCCAUCAGCAGAAGCAAACUGGAGGACGUCGCCAGCGCCGCUCUGGCUGCGAACGCCGUGGCCCAGGUCACCAAGGUGUAUGAUCAGUACCUGAACUUCAUCACUCUGGAAGACGACAUGUUCACCCUCUGCCAUCAGAACAAGGAGCUCAUCUCUUACCACGCCAUCAACCGAGCAGACAUCCAGGACACUGACAUGGAGGCCAUCAUGGACACCAUCGUGGAUAGUCUGUUCUGUUUCUUCGUCACUUUGGGCGCCGUGCCGAUCAUCCGCUGUCCCCGUGGAAACGCAGCAGAGAUGGUCGCCGUGAAGUUGGACAAGAAGCUUCGUGAGAACCUGCGAGACGCCAGAAACAGUCUGUUCACCGGAGAAAACAUGGCCGCCGGACAGUUCAGUUUCCAGAGGCCUCUGUUCGUCCUGGCAGAUCGUAACGUGGACAUGGCCACGCCCCUCCACCACACCUGGACCUAUCAGGCGCUGAUCCACGACGUCCUGGACUACGAGCUCAACAGGGUGGUGAUGGAGGAGGGGGCGGGGCCUGAGCCGUCUCCCGCCGGCGCAAGACCAAAGAAGAAGAACAGAAAGACCUACGACCUGACUGCCGCCGACAAGUUCUGGCAGAAACACAAGGGCAGUCCCUUCCCAGAGGUGGCAGAGUCGGUCCAGGAGGAGCUGGACACCUACAGAGCCCAGGAGGACGAGGUCAAGCGCCUGAAGUGCAUCAUGGGUUUAGAGGGAGAAGAUGAAGGAGCCAUCAGCAUGCUGUCAGACAACACAGCCAAGCUCACCUCUGCUGUCAGCUCUCUGCCGGAGCUGCUGGAGAAGAAGCGUCUGAUCGACCUGCACACCAACGUGGCCACGGCCGUCCUCAACCACAUCAAGAGUCGUAAACUGGACGUUUACUUUGAGUAUGAAGAGAAACUGAUGAGCAAGUCGACUUUAGACAAAUCUCUGCUGGACAUCAUCAGUGACCCCGACGCCGGAACACCCGAAGACAAAAUGAGACUCUUCCUCAUCUAUUACAUCACUGCUCAGCAGGCUCCUUCAGAGUCGGACUUGGAGCAGUACAAGACGGCUCUGCUGGACGCCGGCUGCGACCUUUCACCUCUCAACUACAUCAAGCAGUGGAAGGCCUUUACCAAGAUGGCCGCCACCCCGGCGAACUACGGCAACAGUGGAGUCAAACCCAUGGGGUUGUUUUCCAGAGUGAUGAACAGCGGCUCCCAGCUGGUGAUGGAGGGAGUGAAGAACCUGGUGCUCAAACAGCACGUGAGUAAAGUCCAACAACAACAACAACAACAACAACAACAACAACACUAUUAACUAAAGGGAGUUAGUUCAACAAAUGUAGCAAAAUAUGAAUUCAACCAAGGAGGAGGAGGGAGGAUGAGGGAGGAUGAGUGGAGGAGGAGAAGAGGAAGUGGAGGAGAGAACUUCCUGUUGAGGUAAUUAUUGUAGCACGAGGACGUGAUGUGGGAAAGGUACCGUGAACCGGUACGACGUCAUCGUGGCCAGCAGCGAUGAUGAUGAUGAUGAUGAUGAAGAUGAUGAUGAUGAAGAUGGCAGCUCCAUGCAGUCAUUCAUAAUCAUCCAGCAGCUGAACUGAGACCAGCUGAGCCAGAACAUCAGGACGUCCGGUGGAAACGCAUCAGAAACAUGGUCAACAGGUCGGGGUUACGAGAACCUUCCAGUCACUCGGAUCCUGGACAACCUGAUGGAGAUGAAGUCCAACCCGGAAACUGACGACUAUCGAUACUUCGACCCAAAGAUGCUGCGAGGAAGCGAGAGCUCCAUCCCCAGGAACAAGAACCCGUUUCAGGAGGCCAUCGUGUUCGUGGUGGGAGGAGGAAACUACAUCGAGUACCAGAACCUGGUGGACUACGCCAAGGUCAAACACGGGAAGAAGGUUGUUUAUGGCUGCAGUGAACUCUCCAACGCUGCUCAGUUCACCAAACAGCUCUCCCAGCUCGGCCAAAAGUGACGUGGACGCCACCGACUUGUGAACAUGUCUGUCUCUGGAGGACACACCUGAUCUCUGUAUCCCUGUCUGUCUCUGGAGGACACACCUGAUCUCUUUAUUCCUGUCUGUCUCUGGAGGACACACCUGAUCUCUGUAUCCCUGUCUGUCUCUGGAGGACACACCUGAUCUCUUUAUUCCAGUUGUUUUGUAUGAAACUCUCCUUCUGUAAAUGGACUAAACAUUUCCUGUCUUCAUCGUACUUCCUGUCUCUAAUAAAGCUCAUAAAACAGUU